rnacentral:rRNA from 1 species
GAACGAGAAGCCACCUUCGGGUGGUGGACAGUGGCAGACGGGUGAGUAACGCGUGGGAACGUGCCUUUCGGUUCGGGAUAACCCAGGGAAACUUGGGCUAAUACCGGAUACGCCCUCCGGGGGAAAGAUUCAUUGCCGAAAGAUCGGCCCGCGUCGGAUUAGCUAGUUGGUGGGGUAAUGGCCUACCAAGGCGACGAUCCGUAGCUGGUCUGAGAGGAUGACCAGCCACACUGGGACUGAGACACGGCCCAGACUCCUACGGGAGGCAGCAGUGGGGAAUAUUGGACAAUGGGCGAAAGCCUGAUCCAGCCAUGCCGCGUGGGUGAAGAAGGCCCUAGGGUUGUAAACCCCUUUCAGCGGGGAAGAUAAUGACGGUACCCGCAGAAGAAGCCCCGGCUAACUCCGUG